rnacentral:rRNA from 1 species
GUCCCGCGGUGCAUUAGCUAGUUGGUAAGGUAAUGGCUUACCAAGGCGAUGAUGCAUAGCCGAGUUGAGAGACUGAUCGGCCACAAUGGGACUGAGACACGGCCCAUACUCCUACGGGAGGCAGCAGUAGGGAAUCUUCCACAAUGGGCGAAAGCCUGAUGGAGCAACGCCGCGUGUGUGAUGAAGGGUUUCGGCUCGUAAAACACUGUUGUAAGAGAAGAAUGACAUUGAGAGUAACUGUUCAAUGUGUGACGGUAUCUUACCAGAAAGGAACGGCUAAAUACGUGCCAGCAGCCGCGGUAAUACGUAUGUUCCAAGCGUUAUCCGGAUUUAUUGGGCGUAAAGCGAGCGCAGACGGUUAUUUAAGUCUGAAGUGAAAGCCCUCAGCUCAACUGAGGAAUUGCUUU